CCUACGGGCGGCAGCAGUGAGGAAUAUUGAUCAAUGGGCGGAAGCCUGAACCAGCCAAGUAGCGUGCAGGAUGACGGCCCUACGGGUUGUAAACUGCGUUUAUACGGGAAUAACGCGCCUUACGUGUAGGGCUUUGCAUGUACCGUAUGAAUAAGGACCGGCUAAUUCCGUGCCAGCAGCCGCGGUAAUACGGAAGGUCCGGGCGUUAUCCGGAUUUAUUUGGUUUAAAGGGAGCGUAGGCCGCAUGUCAAGCGUGCUGGGAAAUGUCCGGGCUCCACCCGGGCCUUGCCGCGCGAACGGGCGUGCUUGCUUCCGCGGCAACCAGGCGGACUUCGUCUUGUAGCG
rnacentral:rRNA from 1 species